rnacentral:rRNA from 1 species
UUUGGUGACUUGAGCAGGAGUGGCCUACCCUUAACCAUUCCGAACAAGGUCGUAAAAGCUCCUAGCGUUGAUGGUACUGUACUCUCCAAGGGUACGGGAGAGUAGAUCGUCGCCAAAG